CCCUUGAUACGGGGAAAAUAAGUAAUAAGCUUACCCAAAAUAAUACUUCAGUCUACAGUUAGGUAUGCAAAAUUAUGAUUAAAAAUCAACUAUUAAAUACUAAUUAACAGAAACCUUAACAUGAUCACAAUUUUAAUAAUAAAGUAUAAAUCAAAAUUAAAUUGCACUCACUUUUAAAAAGACACUAAUGUUUCGGUUGAUUAUUUAACAGUUGACACAUUCAACAAUAAAUUGAUAUAUUAUUUUACGUAACUGAUAUUUAAACAAAAAAACUUGUCUGUUCGUAGGCUUUUUUCGUAAGUUUUUUUGUUUUGUUAGUUAUUAUAUUUCGAUUUGUUAUUCAAACUAAUUCAAGUCUGAUUAAGAGUAGUUUUUAUGUCAAAAAAAAAAACAAAAUACUUGUCUAUUGUAAAUAUUUUAGAAAAUAUACAUCUAUUUUCCUAUAUUGUAAUUAAAAGUAAAAAAAAAAAUCUCUAAGAACAUGGCGGCUAGACAAAGCCAUAUGAUUGGUCGGGAGAAAGUGAGGAGACUAGAAGAUCAGAACAUCUGUGCAAAAGGAAGAGGAGAUCUACCUUCGGAUCCGUGAAAUGUAGACACGUGGUCAACCCCAUGUGUUUCACUUAUCUACUUUUCCCUUUCAUUGACGUGGAGCGAAGAAGUUCCAAGGUAGGUCAAAAUAUUGGGUUUUAGUUUUU
rnacentral:lncRNA from 1 species